rnacentral:rRNA from 1 species
UACAGAGGGGGCAAGCGUUGUUCGGAAUUACUGGGCGUAAAGGGCGCGUAGGCGGCCUGUUAAGUCGAACGUGAAAUCCCCGGGCUCAACCUGGGACACCACCCGAUACUGCUCUAGCUAGAGUCCGGUAGGGGAGCAUGGAAUUCCUGGUGUAGCGGUGAAAUGCGCAGAUAUCAGGAGGAACACCAGCGGCGAAGGCGGUGCUCUGGGCCGGAACUGACACUGAGGAGCGAAAGCGUGGGUAGCAAACAGG